rnacentral:lncRNA from 1 species
GUAGGCGGAAAAUGAUGAUGACGGUGAUAAUAACAGCAGCGAUGAGGAUGGCCAGCAGUGACCGGGCGUUUACCGCAUCCCAGAUGCUGUGCCAGGUUUCCUACGCGUUCUUCCGUUUCAUCCUUGCAACAAGCCCAUGAAGUACCACGACUUAGAAAUGUCCCAUUUCACAUGAGGAAACAUUUGGACACGUUAAGCAACAUACCCAGUUUCACACACUCUGAAAUUGUAGAGCGAGGCAUGAGUUUGAGAAAGAAGACUGCACGCAAGUAACUCCAUCAUAAGGUAGAAACUGCAGUGUAUGCUAGAAAGGCAAAGACAGACCCUUUGGGGCUCAGAAAGCGAAGGGGUGCGGGGUGACGGCGGUAGGGGCGGUGAUGGCGAUGGUGACGCUGAGGGUGACCAUGGGGAUACUCGUGGUGGUGGCAGUGCUGCUAAUGACCAUUCAUGAUAGUCGUUGAGUGAUGUCCCUGGGUGCCCACUUGUUGGGCUUCUGCCCAUGCCAGGCCCUGACCUGGGUGCUUUCUGCUACCUCCUGUCAGCCUCAUAAUAACGUCCCAAUGUCAAGGUCAUAACCCCCGUUUCACUCACGAGGACGCUGAGCUGGAGACGGGUCAAUCGCCUGCCUGAGGCAGGCAUCCAGUCUGAGCUGGGCUGGAGCUUAAGCGUGCCUCAUGGCAGAGCGGCCGCGCUCUCCCCACCAGGGUCCCCAGCCUGUGGGCCAUGGGGCCAGGUCUCCCACAGAUGCUCCAUAAAUACCUAUUGAACAAAUAUUGAAUGAAUGGGCCCCCAGGGGGUCAAAGCCUUAAGCCCGGACGACAGAAACAAGCUGUCUUGAGGGAGUGUGCAUAACCAUUAUUUAAGAAGAUGCGGUGGAGCUGUGAUGACUAAAAUGCAAGUUAAUGGUAAGGCGUCAUGUCCACGUGUCUUCUGUAUAGCUCUGUAUUUCCCAAUGAAAACACACCGAGUGUGUCGUUGGGAGGAGUUCUGAGAAAUAUUUGCACGCACAAAGGAGCCCUGCGGCUGAAAGUGGUGGCAAGCCUCCUGCCGUCCUGUGUGGGGUGUAAAGUGCUUUGCCCAGAGUCUGGCACAGAGGCCCCUUAGAGGAAGGAGGAGACCCACCAGGCUGGGGAUCGGGAGCCCAUGGCAUUUGUCCCGGCUCUACAAGUGACUUACUGGACCCAAACUGCCACUUUCUGUGGCUGUCUCGUGAGACCCGAGGCCAGCAUCUGCGAGAUUUCCCAAGCGCCUGGCGAAUGCGUGCAUGAAUGAAUGGAUGACGAGAGAAGGAAGCAGUGAACACGCCGAAGGGCGCUCAGGGAGCCCAUGAGGGGUGUUUUCCCCAAGGAGUGCUUGAGAGCGAGUUUCUCAGCCGGAGAGCAGAAGAAUGCCGGGUUCACCAGGGCCCACCCACUCCAGACUCCCAGCUCUGUGAGCGGGGUCAGGAGGCCACAGCGGCCUCCCUGGGGGUCUGAUCUUGACCCUGUUGGAGAAGGGGUGGCGGCUGGAGCUCGGCUGUGAGGCCACUCUCAGCAAGGCUGUGCUCACCGUUUUAGGAUGCAUUUGUCAAACUUAAGUGCAGGUUGACAGAUGGUGGUGGUAUAUUAUUCUCACAUUCUCUCCUUCCCACAGGCCUCCCUCCAGCCUAGCCCUCCGAGCUCUUAAAAACCUCUUACACCUCUCGACCAUGAGACCACGGCUGGCUCUCGGCAGGUAAGCACCCGCGUUGCUCCCUCGCCAGGGCAGGGAGCUGCCUUCGCUGGAGCCUCACACUCCAGCGAGACUUCAGGAAAAAGCUGCCAAAUGUCCAGAGUCCUGCAGCUGGCAUGUCUACCAAUGACAGCACAGGACUCCUGGAGCAGAAGCCAGGGAGCUGCUUCUGACCCCAUGUCAGAGCCUUUAUUGCUCAGGAAAAUCUCAAGCAACCCCCUGCCUUUCUGGGUUUCGGGUUCCUUGCGUGAAAAGUGGGGGAAUAGGAUUCAGUGAACUGGGCAGGCCGUAAGCCAGCUCUUCCGGCCUCGGGCCAAGGCCAGGUGCUGGGAGGAGGGACAGUGGGGAUGGCCAGGGUCUACGACCUGAGGUCUCACCUCCUGCUCCGUUGCCCCAUGAGCUCCCGUCCACAGGGAGCCUGGCUUUGUGUGUGCCAUGCGACUGCAUGUAUGCGUUUGGGACCAGGACUUGUGCCCCUUCCAGCAAACGGUGCCUGACCUUGAACUUGAACAUGGACAAGUCACCAGCUCUGCACUCUCCCUGUCAUGGCUGGGCGGUACCCAGGGUGGGAAGGGCAGAGGCUGCCCAUGUGCUGAGAGCAGAGGGAGGGCAUGGAGAUCAAGCUGGGGGAGGGGCACCGCCGGUGGCGGGGAGACCAGGUCAGCCCGGCAGUGAGGCCUUCAUUCGUGCGGGAGUAAGUGCGUGGCCAAAACUCGUGGGCACAUCUGCAGGGCAGGCUAAACGAAUCCUACUAGGAACGAUGAGGUUGCAGGUUCGAUUCCUGGCCUCGCUCAGUGGGUUAAGGAUCUCGCAUUGCCAUGAGCUGUGGUGUAGGUCGCAGACACGGCUCAGAUCCUGCGUUGCUGUGGCUGUGGCUGUGGCCAGCAGCUGUAACUCCAAUUCGACCCCUAGCCUGGGAACU